GUAGCCCACAUAUCAGAUAUUAAACUGAUAAGAACAAAUACUACACUUGAUCUUAGCCAAAAGGCCGAGAAAGGUAUGCUUCUCUUUGAUGCCAUGGGUCGCCUGAUAUAG
rnacentral:rRNA from 1 species